rnacentral:rRNA from 1 species
GACGAACGCUGGCGGCGUGCUUAACACAUGCAAGUCGAACGGAAAGGCCCUGCUUUUGUGGGGUGCUCGAGUGGCGAACGGGUGAGUAACACGUGAGUAACCUGCACUUGACUUUGGGAUAACUUCAGGAAACUGGGGCUAAUACCGGAUAGGAGCUCCUGCUGCAUGGUGGGGGUUGGAAAGUUUCGGCGGUUGGGGAUGGACUCGCGGCUUAUCAGCUGGAUGGUGGGGUAGUGGCUUACCAGGGCUUUGACGGGUAGCCGGCCUGAGAGGGUGACCGGCCACAUUGGGCCUGAGAUACGGCGCAGACUCCUACGGGAGGCAGCAGUGGAGAAUAUUGCACAAUGGGCGGAAGCCUGAUGCAGCAACGCCGCGUGCGGGAUGACGGCCUUCGGGUUGUAAACCGCUUUCGCCUGUGACGAAGCGUGAGUGACGGUAAUUGGUAAAGAAGCACCGGCUAACUACGUG